rnacentral:lncRNA from 1 species
AUCCACUAUGAAAUGUUGGUCCUAAUUUUUAAGUAAAUUAUUUUGCUUUGACUUUUUACACUUACCAGUUGUUCUCAGAUAACAGAGAUUCCCAAAAUGGAUUAAACUUUAAGCCCUCACAUCUAUAGCUUUUUCCUUAUUAUAUUAGACUGAGCUAUGUGGGAUUAUAAUGUUUUAUCAUUUUGGAUCUAUAAAAAUGGAAAUUUCAUACAAUUCAUCCCUCCUGCACAGGUCUUGCCCAGUGAUGCCUGAAGAGUUGACAUUAUGCAGAGAAAAGUGAUGGAGAAGGCAGCGGCAACCGACUCCAGUACUCUUGCCUGGAAAAUCCCAUGGAUAGAGGAGUCUGGGCGCAGCAGGGACAGACAAGUAAACCCAGCUGAGGUGAUGGAAAGAAUAUCCUGGGAGGAGAUUAAGACACAAGAACGUUUUCUUACCAUGGAGAGGGGUAGCGAACAGGGAGAUGCGGUGCUUCUUGGAAGAAGCCCCGAGGAUCCUGCUGUUAAAUCAAGACCCGUGCAGGGGAAAAAAAAUUAUCCACUCCACAAUAACAUGGCAUGUAACACAAAGGCAGUGGUACUUAUCCAGCAGGGAGAGAACCCCUUCAAUACCGGGACCCCACCGGCUGACUUAAUUACAACGCAGCAAGGCGAUCCACUACAAAGACAGUGCAACCCAAAGGAGACCACUGAGAUCCACCCGAGGUGCAGGGACAGAUGGUUCCUUUGCUUCUUGUUUAGUAUGAGACCUUCUAGAAAAAUCUGAAAAUGGAUACAUGCCAACAAGCUUUCAACUACCAGUAUUUUUUUUAAGCCUACCAUAUGCUACUAUAAAAAUAAUCCAUAACUUGAGAGUCAAUCAGCAAGGAUUUACUGAGCUGGGACUGUGUAUAAGGGAUAAGAAAAGGCCAAAAUCAGCUUACCAUAGAGUUUAAGGACAUGGAUUAAACUCUGAUUUAAUUUAAGGGCUUUUGGUUUUUUUUCAUCAUGCUGCACACACAUACAAAAUUACAGCAGAAGCCAUGAAACAACUGCCUUAAAAUAUUUUAGAUGAUAACAAACACAAAUUUACAGAAACAGAGUGGUUCCACACUGGGAAACAUGGUUUUAAACAAGUGAUGGUGCACUGGAACUUAAUUCAGCAGUCAAGGUAACUGAAUGUUAUUAAAGCAGUCACCAUAGCAACCACAGCAACUAGGGCACAAAACAGAGAAUUAGCCCCUCCAAUUAUGAAGUUAUAAUACAGUCACUAAAUAAUAGCCCUGAGUAAAUUCUAUCUUGUAAAAAGUCUUAAGGAAAAUGAAAAUUUAACUACAAACUUACUAAAGGACCAAGCUAUUACUGUCAUACUUUUUAAACAAACAAAUCACAAAUGAAGCCUUUCUGCAUGCAGCAAAUUCUACCUUCCUGGUCACUUCAAAGGAUAUGAAUUAAUCAAGAUAAUAAAAUUCAUGCUUUUUUUUCUUCUUGUAGUGGCUUACAGGAUCUUGGUUCCCCAGCCAUGACACUGAAAGUGCCAAGUCCUAACCACUGGACCACCAGGGAAUUCUCAAAAAUCAUAAAAUUCUUCAUUCUCUAUGUGUGAGUGUACAAUAAUGCCACCCAAGAAAUUGAG